rnacentral:tRNA from 1 species
UAUAUUUAAGUGUUUAUGCAUUUAAAUUUUUGAAAUUUAAGGAUUAGAUAAUUUCUAAAAAUAUAA